UGUAUUUAUUAGAUAAAAAACCAAUGCCCUUCGGGGCUUUUUGGUGAUUCAUGAUAACUUUACGGAUCGCAUAGCCUUGCGCUGGCGACGGUUCAUUCAAAUUUCUGCCCUAUCAACUUUCGAUGGUAAGGUAUUGGCUUACCAUGGUUUCAACGGGUAACGGGGAAUUAGGGUUCGAUUCCGGAGAGGGAGCCUGAGAAACGGCUACCACAUCCAAGGAAGGCAGCAGGCGCGCAAAUUACCCAAUCCCGACACGGGGAGGUAGUGACAAUAAAUACUGAUACAGGGCUCUUUUGGGUCUUGUAAUUGGAAUGAGUACAAUUUAAACCUCUUAACGAGGAACAAUUGGAGGGCAAGUCUGGUGCCAGCAGCCGCGGUAAUUCCAGCUCCAAUAGCGUAUAUUAAAGUUGUUGCAGUUAAAAAGCUCGUAGUUGAAACUUGGGCCUGGCUGGCGGGUCCGCCUCACCGCGUGCACUCGUCCGGCCGGGCCUUCCUUCUGAAGAACCUCAUGCCCUUCACUGGGCGUGCUGGGGAAACC
rnacentral:rRNA from 1 species